CCUUCUCUUCUUCCACUCCUCCCACAAUCUCCUCCUCCUCGCUGGUUGCCGCCUUCAAUCCCCCACCGCCGCCCACACUGCCCGGAUCGCUCCUCUCUCCGCCGUGCCUUCAGCGCCUCUCCCUCAUCAAACCGCCAGCCCAUCAUGCAUCGCCGGCACGGGUCAACCGGUAGCGCUCCUCGCUGGAUCAACGCGCUCCUCACCUGCCCUCCGUGCUCCCCACUCGGUCAUGCUCAAUCAGAUGCCGGUAAGAUCCGGCUCCGCCGCCCCUACUGGCGCGUAGGCGUCGUCUUGGAUGCCACCGCUGCCCCAAUCGCCGAGCUCGCGCCGCCCGCCCCUACAGUCGUUGCCACCCGAAGCUAAGCCAGCCUGCAGGAGCUACGGUAGCCCGCCUCUCUUCAGUUUUUUUUCUGUGUAUUUGUCUAUCCGAUCUUCGUUUCUAUUCUUGGAUGAAUUGUAGUAGUAAUAGCACGAAUUUAUAAGUACUGAUAUUCCUGUGGUUUGUGCGUAAGAAAAUAAUGAAUCUGGAGACAUUGAUAAUUGAAUGUUACAUCGAUCUACUUUCUCAUUAUGUGACGCUGGACAACUAUAUUCAACCCGUUCAGUCCACAUGUUUGGCUUAAUCAUCAUGGAUUGUAUUUAUCUGCACGCUGGUUAUUUGCAUAUUCAGACUUUAGACUUCUCCUCUGUACAACCCUUAAGCUGAACUUGACAUAGGGUAAACUGUAAAGAUGUUUUAUGCUCAGUUAAGGAAAGUUUUUGCUGAAUAGAAGGUAGCAAUUUUCCACGCAUCAUCAUCUGCCCCGCGAUGUUGGUUCCCCAUGCGACGGUAACAUCUUCACACCGUGAUCUUAUCUUGUUUUGGAUGUGUUAUGUUUUGUUGAAGUUUGCUGUGAUUUCGUCUGAAACAGUUUAGUGUCCUGUUGAAAUAAAGAAUUCUACAUAAUCUGCAUUCCAGAUUCAAAGCAUGUAGGCCACGGUCUGCACUGAAUUGGUUCGGAAAGUUCAGAUGUAGCAUCCUAUCUCCUGCUUGUGCUCUUCUUAAUUUUCAAGUGUCACAGUCUGAUUUUUAAAUGACAAUUUCAGAUCGUUAGACAGUGGGAUAUUUGGGAAAGACAGUCUUUUAAAAUUCCAUGCAGACCAUCAGGACUAAAGAAAGAGAAGAAUACGAAGAAGAAAAGAAAACCAUUUCACCAUCAAAAUUCAGAAAUAAAGACAUGCGGUAGAACAUGUCCUCCAAGAGCUCACGAGGGAGUAUCCAGAUCAGCUUCAUCGCAUUUCAGGCCGAGAGGGAUUAAUUAUGAGUUCAUUUGAUUUUUUUGUCACUAGGUGCUUAUGUGGCCUUUAAUUUUUCUACACUGAAAUAAAGAAUUUCCUAUGGUUAGUACAACGACUCAGAGUAGGUCUUUUGGUAAUUUCAUGGUAGGAAGAAAUCAAUUGUAUACAUGUUAACUUUCUACCUGAAGAAUUGCGGUGUAUCUUUGAUGAA